rnacentral:rRNA from 1 species
UACGGAGGGUGCAAGCGUUAUCCGGAUUCACUGGGUUUAAAGGGAGCGUAGGAGGGCAGGUAAGUCAGUGGUGAAAUCUUCGAGCUUAACUCAGAAACUGCCAUGGAUACUAUUUGUCUUGAAUGUUGUGGAGGUAAGCGGAAUAUGUCAUGUAGCGGUGAAAUGCUUAGAUAUGACAUAGAACACCAAUUGCGAAGGCAGCUUACUACACAAAUAUUGACGCUGAGGCACGAAAGCGUGGGGAUCAAACAGG